UGUAGGAUCAAUACCUGUUAGAUAUCAGCUAGAGGAGACCUGCAGGAUCAAUACCUGUUAGGUGUCAGCUAGAGGAGACCUGUAGGAUCAAUACCUGUUAGAUAUCAGCUAGAGAUGAGAUGCAGGGUUUUGAAGUCUUGCAUGAUGUCUUCUUUGAGGCUAAUUAGCAUUUUUUUUUUUUUACUGAGUGUAAAUACAGGCUAAUAUAUUGAUAAAAGUCACCUUGUCCUAGAGAGAUUUACACGGUUAUCAAAACUUCACGCCAUGGUAAGCCUUCCCGAAACACAGACCUUAUUUAAAGUUUCUAAUUUCCUUGUUUGACCGCUAGGUUUUAUGGGUAUUAUGACACCUCCACUGUGGGGCUCUAUUAACAGAGGCUCAUUGGUCAAAACGUGUGUUUUUUAUGAAUAAACACUGAAAAUAAGGUCUGUGGUUUAGGAGUUCUGAUGCAUUAUUCUAUUGGAUCAUCUUGAUCAGCUAACGUCACUUUAUAUAAUCCAAACAAGCACAUAAAGGCUUCAUAAUUCAUAAAGGUCAUGUUUAACUGCCUCAUAGACCAACUCAGUGGCCUUGUGGUUACAGUGUCCUGAGAUUGGAAAGUUAUGAAUUCAAUCUCUGGUCGAGUCAAACCGAAGAAAAACCUGACAAGUCUCCGCUUGACAUUCAGCAUUAAGGAGAUAAGAUCGGGGUUAAGGCCCUGUGAUAGGCUAGCGUCCUGGGUACGGCCCUGUGAUGGGCUAGCGUCCUGGGUACGGCCCUGUGAUGGGCUAGCGUCCUGGGUACGGCCCUGUGAUGGGCAAGCGUCCUGGAUACGGCCCUGUGAUAGGCCGGCGUCCUGUCCAGGGGUACGGCCCUGUGAUAGGCUGGCGUCCUGUCCAGGGGUUAAGGCCCUGUGAUAGGCCAGCAUCCUGUCCAAGAGGUGGUACUUGUACAUCAAGCUGCCUCUCACUACAGAAACAGGAGGUAGACUCCUGCCCUAUGGGCCGUUCUCAUCAAGCUGCCUCUCACUACAGAAACAGGAGAUAGACUCCUGCCCUAUGGGCCGUUCUCAUCAAGCUGCCUCUCACUACAGAAACAGGAGAUAGACUCCUGCCCUAUGGGCCGUUCUCAUCACGCUGCCUCUCACUACAGAAACAGGAGAUAGACUCCUGCCCUAUGGGCCGUUCUCAUCAAGCUGCCUCUCACUACAGAAUCAGGAGAUAGACUCCUGCCCUAUGGGCCGUUCUCAUCAAGCUGCCUCUCACUACAGAAACAGGAGAUAGACUCCUGUCCUAUGGGCCGUUCUCAUCAAGCUGCCUCUCACUACAGAAACAGGAGGUAGACUCCUGCCCUAUGGGCCGUUCUCAUCAAGCUGCCUCUCACUACAGAAACAGGAGGUAGACUCCUGCCCUAUGGGCCGUUCUCAUCACGCUGCCUCUCACUACAGAAACAGGAGAUAGACUCCUGUCCUAUGGGCCGUUCUCAUCAAGCUGCCUCUCACUACAGAAACAGGAGAUGGACUCCUGCCCUAUGGGCCGUUCUCAUCACGCUGCCUGAUAUUAUCUCAUAGAACAAAACGUGUCAAAUCUCCGAAACCUGUUAGCCUCAGACCGCGUUAUCCAAAACACCUCCAAAAGCGGCAUUAAAUUUCCCCCCGUAGGCUUUGAGCAACGAGCCAUUGGGACUACAAGCUGGCGAGCCCUAUAGCUCUGUUCCAAAGUCCAAUUCAUUUAUUAGUCUCUCAAAUCCGUGUAUUUCUUUACACACCUAUGACCGCAUAUUGUGUGGAAGCUCAGGGGGGGGAAGCUAAAUUCCAGACCACGAUGUCUUUCUCGCUCUCUUGUAAUAAAUGUGAUCAAAUUGGCCAAUAGGAGACUUGUUGAAUGCCUUCCAGUCCUUGUGAUAACCUCUCUCUGUCUCUCUCUCUCUCUCUGUCUCUCUCUCUGUCUCUCUCUCUGUCUGUCUCUCUCUCUCUCUUCUCUCUCCUCUCUCUCUCUCUCUCUCAGCUCGGUCUAUCCCCCCCCCCCCCAGAGCAGCAGGGUAGACCAGUCAGGCAGGCAUGGCUUCGUGUUGUGAAUGAACAACUCAGGCACGUUCUCACAUUCCUCAAGGCAAACAGCACAGAGAUUGCUGAGAUUAUCAUAAUUGUCCUAUUUCGUGCAAUAGUUCCGUAUACGCUUACCUUUCAAAAGACUACAGGCACUGGGUAGCUGUAAGUAUAAGGGUUAUUACACCAUCAUUGGAUACAAGUGUCACUAAAUGAAGACCUGAAUCAAAUGUAGCCUACAGUAGUCGCUAAUUCCUACCUUUUUGUGAUGACGACCAACUGUGAUUUGAUGCGGGGUAAAAUGACAUGGUUGCUGCACAGCCAGCCCAGCCAAUCGGAAGGCUUAUCCUGAGCAAUAACCGCUGCAACCUGGUCUCAGAGCUUUUUGUAUUAUUCUGUACGUAAAUCUGGGGAAACUCAAUUUCCUGUGUUAUUUUAUGUAUUAAUUUGUGGAUGUCUAUCACCCAUUUCGUAUGAUAUGUUACGAAAUACGAUUUGUAUUAUAUGUUACGAAUUCUAGCUCGGCUAGGGGUUUUUGAGUUAGGCUAAAGAGUUAAGUGUUAGCUAACAUGCUAAAUGGUUGCAAAGUUUCAACAAAAAAAAAAGUAGUAAGUAGAUAAAAUGCUAAAGUUGUCUGUGAUGCGAUUCGAACUCACAACCUUUCGGUUACUAGACGUUGGCUUUAUACACCCACUCAUCCGACUUCCGUUUUUUUUUUUUACCUCAAGUAAACCAUCUGUCUUAUACAACCCUAUCAAACAUGCCAUACUAAUUUUACAGUCCCGGAUUUACGUUUACUAUGUAAUGACAGUGUAUGAGACCAGGCUGUAACAACCACAUCGAUGAGAGCCGACGUGCACUUAAUAAUACCGUGCGCGAUAUGUAGGCUACGCAAACAAAGGCAACACGCCAGAAACCUUGGGACUUUUCAAAACGUACCAAGUUACUUUCAUCGAGCUUCUGAAUUCUAUAAAUGAAUUCAGAGAACAGCCAACUGUUUCGAGAGAUAAACCAACAAGUAUCAGUGAACAGGCGCUCUUUGCUUUACCAAAAAUAAUCUGGCCAGCAUUCCGGAAACAAAUGGUGACUGUGUCCCCUACUAGAGCGUUCAAUCUGUCUUUAUUUGUGCUCGGAUUGUGAAAGUCUACCGUAAUAAUCGCCCUACCCAUGUGAACUCGGUAUAAUUGAUUUAAGUAACAAAUUGUCCCCAGUAGCUGCUGAAAGAAACACAGUUGUCUGUGGGGGAGGGGUGGCCCUGGACAAACCGAGCAUGUGAGUCGUGACAUGAUCUUUCUAUGUAGAGAAAGCGCCUAGAUAAAUACAAAAAAAAAACGAAAUGUAGCCAGUAGAUGAACUAACUACCUACUGCAACAGUCUCCCACUCCAAUACUGAGCAAACAAAUAAUAAUAAUGUAGAGAUACCGUGUGUGUUACAGUGUUGCAAGCUCACCAGUUGAACAAGAAAGUGUCUCAUUGGUAAAUCAAUGCUGAUUGUUGGCUUCGUUUUUUUACAUUAUUCUGUCGGUCCAAAAUAAUGACAUCAGUUUCAGAGGAAAAAGGCCGGAUCACCUUGACUGUUAACCUUGAACCCUGAUUCCUUCCAAAAAAAUCUAACUGUAUUGGGAUAAAACUACUAAUUACCGAGGUAAUGGAUGUCCCCCAUUGUCAUUUGGCACAUUAUUUUGUUCAGAGAAAUAAAGUAAUUGAUAUUUACCAACUCUUAUCAAUGUUUUCCAUUCUGGGCUGACAGCAGAAACAAGCAUGCCAUUAUGGCAAGACAAGCACAUGUUAGUUGCAAUCCAACACCAUAUCAUGUAAAUGAUGUCCUUCAAAAUGACCUCUUUGGCAAAGGACACCGAGUCUAGCUUUCGUUGUACGUGAUCGACCCGGGUUUAAACGAAUAAUAACGGAUAGGAACAUUAUUAACGUUCACUUGACCUAAAAGUCUGAAUAUAUUUCAACUGCCUUUUUUUUUUAUUUUUUUUUUUUUUUAGACAGAACUAAUUUUCAUGACAUUUAUUUUGAAUCGUAUUCCAUCAAUAGGUUAUACGGUUAUUUUACAGAAGAGUUUUUUAUAAAUCACGUUUAAUUGAUUUGUCAUGUUUCCAUUGAAGAGUGAAUGAUCUCUACACAGCACGCUAUGGUCAAUCAAACAGGUGCUGUAUCAGGAAAUACAGAACGACUCAGGAACUCUCUGUGCCGUUACAUUAUUCUGACAAUACACGGAAACAACAGGGCUACAACUCCUAUCGUUCUUAUCCUCCAGUUCAUUUCAAGAAAAAGCGUCGAUUAAAAGUAGUUUAUUACGGAUUUAUGUACUUACACCAACUGCCACCAGUGCGUCCUAGAAAUUCCUUCUUUUCCGAAUUCCACAGAAAGCUCUUCCAUCCACCGUCUCCAUCUUUAUUUGCCGACAUCUUUUUUUUUUGCCUUUUAAUUUCCCUUUUCAAUCAAUAUUAUCUAAUGGGUGUAGGUACCCGAUUCGUGUACUGUCCCCCGGUACAGAAUAGUAAAGGACAGUUUCGUACCCGGCUCUCCUAUUGUACACCACACAUUUAGUUCUUAUGGUAUCCGACUCCGCCCGCAAACUCUUGUAAUAAGUUACCUACAAAGAGGGGGGGGCUAACUCUGACCAAUCACAAGCGGUCAUCCUUCUGCGUAAGAAUCAAGGGGGCAACAGCUAUGAUCACUGCUCUAUGAAGGCAAGACUGCUCUAUGAAGGCAAGACUGCUCUAUGAAGGCAAGACUGCUCUAUGAAUGCAAGACUGCUCUAUGAAUGCAAGACUGCUCUAUGAAGGCAAGACUGCUCUAUGAAGGCAAGACUGCUCCACGAGGCAAGACUGCUCUAUGAAGGCAAGACUGCUCUAUGAAGGCAAGACUGCUCUAUGAAGACAAGACUGCUCUAUGAAGGCAAGACUGCUCUAUGAAGACAAGACUGCUCUAUGAAGGCAAGACUGCUCCACGAGGCAAGACUGCUCUAUGAAGGCAAGACUGCUCCACGAGGCAAGACUGCUCCAUGAGGCAAGACUACUCUAUGAAGGCAAGACUGCUCCACGAGGCAAGACUGCUCCACGAGGCAAGACUGCUCUAUGAAGGCAAGACUGCUCCAUGAAGGCAAGACUGCUCCAUGAAGGCAAGACUGCUCUAUGAAGGCAAGACUGCUCCAUGAAGGCAAGACUGCUCCACGAGGCAAGACUGCUCUAUGAAGGCAAGACUGCUCUAUGAAGGCAAGACUGCUCCAUGAGUCAAGACUGCUCUAUGAAGGCAAGACUGCUCCAUGAAAGCAAGACUGCUCCAUGAGUCAAGACUGCUCCAUGAGGGUUCAAAACGAAAUGGUGUCAACUCAAAUGGUAGAAUUAUUAAACCCGAAAUAGAAUUAAAACAAUUCUAUGUUGAUGUCAUAAACUCGGAAACAUUAUAUUACCAUUCUUGGAGUUCUAUUAUCACAUCGCAGGUUUAAAAAGUAAUUAUAUUUCUCAGGAGUCAACUUUGUACUUUAGUACAUUUGAUUAUAAUUGUUGCUAAAUAUCACAUCCAUAAAAUUAAUUGUUUAUUAAGGGGGGGGGAAAAACAUCUUAUUCAAUAUUUUUUUUUUUAAGGUAGACUUAAAUAAUUACUUUGCCAAAUUGCUCUGUGAGAAUAAGACGGUAUUGAAAUUAAUUUAUACUCUUAAGCUUUUAAAAUGUUGUUGAAUGUUAAAACGCUG
rnacentral:lncRNA from 1 species